CCCAGACUCCUACGGGAGGCAGCAGUAGGGAAUAUUGCUCAAUGGGGGAAACCCUGAAGCAGCAACGCCGCGUGGAGGAUGAAGGUUUUCGGGUUGUAAACUUCUUUUGACAGGGAAGAGCAGAAGACGGUACCUGUCGAAUAAGCCACGGCUAACUACGUGCCAGCAGCCGCGGUAAUACGUAGGUGGCAAGCGUUGUCCGGAUUUACUGGGUGUAAAGGGCGUGUAGCCGGGCUGACAAGUCAGAUGUGAAAUCCGGGGGCUCAACCCCCGAACUGCAUUUGAAACUGUUGGUCUUGAGUAUCGGAGAGGCAGGCGGAAUUCCUAGUGUAGCGGUGAAAUGCGUAGAUAUUAGGAGGAACACCAGUGGCGAAGGCGGCCUGCUGGACGACAACUGACGGUGAGGCGCGAAAGCGUGGGGAGCAAACAGGAUUAGAUACCCUUGUA
rnacentral:rRNA from 1 species